AUUGAACGCUGGCGGCAUGCUUUACACAUGCAAGUCGAACGGUAACAGGCCGCAAGGUGCUGACGAGUGGCGAACGGGUGAGUAAUGCAUCGGAACGUGCCCAGUCGUGGGGGAUAACUACUCGAAAGAGUAGCUAAUACCGCAUACGAUCUAUGGAUGAAAGCGGGGGACCGUAAGGCCUCGCGCGAUUGGAGCGGCCGAUGUCAGAUUAGGUAGUUGGUGGGGUAAAGGCUCACCAAGCCAACGAUCUGUAGCUGGUCUGAGAGGACGACCAGGCACACUGGGACUGAGACACGGCCCAGACUCCUACGGGAGGCAGCAGUGGGGAAUUUUGGACAAUGGGCGCAAGCCUGAUCCAGCAAUGCCGCGUGCAGGAAGAAGGCCUUCGGGUUGUAAACUGCUUUUGUACGGAACGAAACGGCUCUGGUUAAUACCCGGGGCUAAUGACGGUACCGUAAGAAUAAGCACCGGCUAACUACGUG
rnacentral:rRNA from 1 species